UAUGAUUUGGGUUGAUCCCAUCCUACAUUCACGAUGGCGCCAUUUUGAAUUUGGGCGUAAUCUCUUCCUAAAUCCACGAACAUCAUGGAGUAUAUAGAGGGAAACGGUUCUUCACUAGCAAUCGUCCCACCAAAACCCACAAAAGCCCUAAUAAUAGUGACAAAGCUUCGAGAAAUCAAGGCGAAAGAACGAGGGCAAAGUCUGACGGUCAAAUCUAGUUACAAAGAGCAUAAUGUCAAAAAGAGACGGAAGAGGUAGAUGAGGUGGACCAGGUAGACAAGAUGGACAACAUACUACUCCAUACAACACAUUAAGUUCAGAUCCAAUCCCUCCAAUCUCAAAAGAUAUCAACCCGAUCCAAUCUUACACGUUGGGAUGAGGAAAAAGGAUGGAGAUCUACCGAUGCAACUAAAAAAUAUGAAGAAAUGAUGAAGCUGAGAAACAAGCAUACCAUGGACACAAUGAGCGACAAGUUGAUUCUAGAGAAGGUACUUUGACGAAGCUCCGUUCAUUUGUCAGGGUGGAGAUGUGAUCCUGUUGUUAGUAACACCAUAAGUAAUACUAAGAAUUCAAAAUGCCCUACUUAUGAUGAAUUAGUGGAUGAUGUUUGAAAGAUGAGAAAAGAUGUUCAAUUAUGGAACAAAAGAUGAUUGAGAAAAAUAUCAUGCCUCCUCCUUCAAGUACAUCAUCGGGACAAUCAGAAGAUGCUACAUCCGACUGUGAUACAUCAACCCACACCCGUUUUGGAGAGUAUCAUGGUGAGAAUAUUGAUGAGUUUGAUCAUAUAGAAGGAUGUUUAGUACUUUCAUUAUAACUAGUUUUUUGUUUUUUAAUUCACUUAUUUCAAGUGUAGUACAUGGUUUUUCAUUUGUGGUUUGAACUUUUAUGUUCUAACUUUAUUUUAACUACAAAUAGUUUUGCCCA